UACAUCAUUCUCAGACAAUGAUUUUUUAGAACGAUAUCAACGAUUAAUUAAUCUUCAGAUCUAUUUUUUGUAAAUCAGAUUUUAGAUCUGAAUAAUUUCAUAUUUGUAUAAGAACCUGGCUCUGAUACCACUAUUAAAAAGUGAUGGUUUUGUACAUGUAGUUUAAAAUUUUUUCAUAAAAUAGUUUUUUGUGCAGUGAAAGUAAAUUAAAUUAAAACUCUUUUAAUUUUAAUCACAUACC
rnacentral:lncRNA from 1 species